GUUAAAAAGCUCGUAGUUGGAUUUCUGUGUUGGUGAGGCGGCCGGCCACUCGUGGUUGUAGCUAGUUAUCACCGACGCAUCUUGUCACAAUCCUGUCUGGCCUUCACUGGUUGGAUAUGGGGACUGACUCGUUUACUUUGAGAAAAUUAGAGUGUUCAAAGCAGGCUAUCGCCUUGAAUAUAUUAGCAUGGAAUAAUGAUAUAGGACUUUGGUUCUAUUUUGUUGGUUGUUCGAGAACCGAAGUAAUGAUUGAUAGGGACAGUUGGGGGCAUCAGUAUUCUGAAGCGAGAGGUGAAAUUCUUGGACCUUCGGAAGACUAACAGCUGCGAAAGCGUUUGCCUAGGAUGUUCUCUUUAAUCAAGAACGAAAGUUGGGGGAU
rnacentral:rRNA from 1 species